rnacentral:lncRNA from 1 species
AUCAGUUACCCCUGAGCUCUUUUGAGGGCUGGCGUUGUCAUUGCUGCUGUUCCAGACUUGAAGAAAGAGAGUGUGCUCAAAGCAUUUGCUUUUUCCAGUUGUGUCUGCCGUCCUACUGAAAAACUAUCACCUCUGUUUCCAGACUUUGCUUCAUUAAUGCUGGAAGCAAUCUUGCUGUUGACUUCCUGGGAACAAGGUCAGAUUUUUAAUGCUAUCAUCCGACACGAAGCAGAUAAUGGACAUGUGAGUCAAAGCUACUCACAGCUAUGCCCUUUUCAAAGAAAGACCCAUUGGAUCUCAUUAAGGCAGAUACCCGUUGCAUAAGAAAUCAGUGGAAUGUAUUUGGUGACUACUACAAUUGGAGGAUUCCCACAUAUCAUUCCAAAAUGUAUAUUGAAAUCACAGCGCAACAAAGAGGCUGAAUUCCGUGGCCCUGUGUUGGGACCAGAUGUGCAGAGCUGUGAAGAGUUCUGGUGCCCUCUGCGGACAGAAAGACAGACGGACCCGAUUCCUUCAGCAAGUCCGGAGCUCCAUCUAGUGUCCUACAGACGAAUGGCGAGGGAAAGAGCGUGGAUGCAAGAAAGCAAGGGAAAGGUUGGUGCGCGAAGCUCUUGUUGGCACCUCCAGUAGGCACGCUGGCAGGAAUGUUGGUUGAUUCUGCUCUCACAAGAGCAACAACAAAAGCAACGAGGCCACAGUGUCUCUGACAAUUCAGCUAAUUCUUUUCUCCUUCGUAACACAGCUGUCAUGAAUAUUUACGUUAUUUAUGCAUCAACAGAUCGUUCAAGAGCCGACACUGUAUCGGCGAUGGCCAGUUCUAUCAAUGUGCAUUGCACAUUUCUUUCCUCUUUCUGUAUUUUCACUGAUUUUGCUAAAAAAUCUGUACCAAGUUCCAUAGUACGAACAAUUGUUUACUUGCUUAAAAUUAAUGCAUGUGGUUUCUGUUAGCAAGUGAAUGUUAAACUGGAUAAUUAUCUUCUUGAAGUUUUCCAAGCUAAAAAGCUUGACUUGUCUCAGCAUUGAACAAAUAUAUAUGUAUAAAUAA